rnacentral:tRNA from 1 species
CGCUACAGACUUGAAAUCGUGAUGGUUCUUGUCCCUCUAUCCCC